GGGGAAUUUUGGACAAUGGGCGCGAGCCUGAUCCAGCCAUGCCGCGUGUCUGAAGAAGGCCUUCGGGUUGUAAAGGACUUUUGUCAGGGAAGAAAAGGCUGUUGCUAAUAUCGACAGCUGAUGACGGUACCUGAAGAAUAAGCACCGGCUAACUACGUGCCAGCAGCCGCGGUAAUACGUAGGGUGCGAGCGUUAAUCGGAAUUACUGGGCGUAAAGCGAGCGCAGACGGUUACUUAAGCAGGAUGUGAAAUCCCCGGGCUCAACCUGGGAACUGCGUUCUGAACUGGGUGACUAGAGUGUGUCAGAGGGAGGUAGAAUUCCACGUGUAGCAGUGAAAUGCGUAGAGAUGUGGAGGAAUACCGAUGGCGAAGGCAGCCUCCUGGGAUAACACUGACGUUCAUGCUCGAAAGCGUGGGUAGCAAACAGGAUUAGAUACCCUGGUAGUCCACGCCCUAAACGAUGUCAAUUAGCUGUUGGGCAACUUGAUUGCUUAGUAGCGUAGCUAACGCGUGAAAUUGACCGCCUGGGGAGUACGGUCGCAAGAUUA
rnacentral:rRNA from 1 species